AUCCUGUCAUGGCUUUAUUCUGCCAUGCCACCUCAGGGCAACUCCUGGCCAGGGCCCAUAUGGUACCCACAGGGGCUAUGCCACCUGCAAAGGUGGCAGUGAGCACAGCCGGGCAGCCUCUCAGGACCAGGAAGUGGGCCUGACUUUUUCUGGAGCACACGCAGCCUGGCAGGAGGCCUACUUGUCCAUCUCCGCAUGUUCUCUUACUCUGCCUCCUACCUGCCUUUCCAGGUCCUCCACUUCUUGGUGGAGCUACACUUCCAGGAGAAUCCACCAGCUGAACUCCUCGCCCAACUGGAGCAAGCUGAGCCCACUGAGGCACAGCCCACGGGACCAGGUCCAGCCCCAGCUGAAGUCCCAUGUGUGGAGCCCGAGCCAGCUCCACCUGCAGCUUCCUGCCCAGUGCUGGUGGCACCCCCAGAGUCUGCUGCAGUGCUGGGGCACCCGGUGGUUGCACGGUGGUCGAUGUCACCUCCUGAGCUCUGCCUGGGGCCAGGUCCUGGCCCCUUCCCACUGUUCCCCUCACUCAUGCUGGCUCUUGUUUUGGUAUUUACACUUGCCCUUAUUCCUUGGAUUUAUAUAAAUAAUAGAACUAGCUUUUAAUAAAACUUAAACUUUUAGUGUUUAAAAGGGUCAGCGUGGUGGCCUGAAGUGCCUUCUCCCAUGU
rnacentral:lncRNA from 1 species